UCUUUCCUAGCUGAGCAUCUGCUGUGCCACAGCACAGGCAGAGAGAGUUGUCUGGGGGCUCCCUCUGACACGCUUCUGUGGAGAAGACUUCAUAGAACAAAAAAGAAAAUGAAGACCCCAAAGCUAUACAGACAGCCAAAGGAAUGGGCCAAACUGACUUGGACACCUCAUGCUUACCUUACGAAUAAGCUCUCCACUUCAUUAAAGAUACACUGUUACAAGCUAACAUAGAAAUAAGGAUACAGGACAUUGUUCUGAAGGCUUUAAAAAUCCUCUGUAAUAAAUAUACUGGCAAAAUA